GUACGUUUUCACCCUCGGGUGACAGGGAGACAGGUGGUGCAUGGUUGUCGUCAGCUCGUGUCGUGAGAUGUUGGGUUAAGUCCCGCAACGAGCGCAACCCCUACGUUUAGUUGCUAACAGGUGAAGCUGAGCACUCUAGACGAACUGCCGUUGACAAAACGGAGGAAGGUGGGGAUGACGUCAAAUCAUCAUGCCCCUUAUGUUCUGGGCUACACACGUGCUACAAUGGCCGGUACAGACGGAGGCGAAGCCGCGAGGCGGAGCAAAUCCGAAAAAGCCGGUCUCAGUUCGGAUUGCAGGCUGCAAUUCGCCUGCAUGAAGUCGGAAUCGCUAGUAAUCGCAGGUCAGCAUACUGCGUUGAAUACGUUCUCGGGCCUU
rnacentral:rRNA from 1 species